rnacentral:rRNA from 1 species
UACGUAGGGACCAAGCGUUGUUCGGAUUUACUGGGCGUAAAGGGCGCGUAGGCGGCUUAACAAGUCACUUGUGAAAUCUCCGGGCUUAACUCGGAACGGCCAAGUGAAACUGUCAAGCUAGAGUGCAGAAGGGCAAUCGGAAUUCUUGGUGUAGCGGUGAAAUGCGUAGAUAUCAAGAGGAACACCUGAGGUGAAGACGGGUUGCUGGCUGACACUGACGCUGAGGCGCGAAAGCCAGGGAGCAAACGGG